GGUGAUUGUGAAGAAAGCUGACAGAACUGGUAUUCCAGUAAGAAUUGGUAAGAAGAACCCAUAUGACUGGACUUAUGCAGAGGCUGAGUUAAAAAGGCACCUUGGAGAAAAGAUUUUUAUUUAUGGGUUCAAAGUUGCUCACCUCCACUGCUCUCCUAAUUUAUGCUUAUGGUGCUGGUGGCUUUCCUGCUUGGGGCAUUAAUUUGCUGAACUGUUGCUGUUUUGCUGAAUUGUUGCUGUGUUGCUGUUUAACUAUUUUGUCCUAAUUUCAUGAGCUGUUGCUGUUUAACUACAUUUAAAGAACUAGAAUUGCUGAAUUGUUCUAGUUCUUUUAGGCUAUUAUGUUU